rnacentral:misc_RNA from 1 species
CAGCCCUCAAGCGCUGCCGCUUGGUGCUGGGGCCCUGCGCGGCAGGCCCCGAAAGACAUUGGCAGGUCGCUGUAGACCCCGAGCGUAGUAAACCUCUCGCUUAGGGCUCUGCAGAGGCUCUCGCCGCUAAACAACCCACACAAACA